rnacentral:rRNA from 1 species
GACGAACGCUGGCGGCGUGCUUAACACAUGCAAGUCGAACGGUGAAGCGCCUUCUUUUUUGGUGGGUGUGGAUGAGUGGCGAACGGGUGAGUAACACGUGAGUAACCUGCCCCCUUCUUCUGGAUAACCGCAUGAAAGUGUGGCUAAUACGGGAUAUUCUGGGUCUGUCGCAUGAUGGGUCUGGGAAAGAUAUUGUUUCGGUGGGGGAUGGGCUCGCGGCCUAUCCGCUUGUUGGUGGGGUGAUGGCCUACCAAGGCGGUGACGGGUAGCCGGCCUGAGAGGGUGGACGGUCACACUGGGACUGAGACACGGCCCAGACUGCUACGGGAGGCAGCAGUGGGGAAUAUUGCACAAUGGGCGCAAGCCUGAUGCAGCGACGGCGCGUGAGGGAUGGAGGCCUUCGGGUUGUGAACCUCUUUCGCCAGUGAAGCAGGCCUGCCUCGUUUGUGGGUGGGUUGACGGUAGCUGGAUAAGAAGCGCCGGCUAACUACGUG